rnacentral:rRNA from 1 species
UACAGAGGGGGCAAGCGUUAUUCGGAAUUAUUGGGCGUAAAGGGCGCGUAGGCGGUCUGACAAGUCUGAUGUGAAAUCUAUGGGCUCAACCCAUAGUCUGCAUCGGAAACUGUCGGGCUGGAGUAUGGGGAGAGGUGAGUGGAAUUUCCGGUGUAGCGGUGAAAUGCGUAGAUAUCGGAAGGAAAACCUGUGGCGAAAGCGGCUCACUGGACCAUUACUGACGCUGAUGCACGAAAGCUAGGGGGAGCAAACAGG